rnacentral:tRNA from 1 species
GUUUUUAUAGUUGAAUAACAACGAUGGUUUUUCAUGCCAUUAGUCAUGGUCAAACUCCAUGUAAAAAUA